rnacentral:rRNA from 1 species
GCAUAAUCAAUAGUUUUUUAAUUGAAAGCUGGAAUGAAGGGUAGAUACUAAAAAGGAGGUUUUAUUUUAAGAAUUUGAAUUUUAAUUAAAAAUAAAAAUGUUUUUAUUAAUCUUUAGGACGAGAAGACCCUAGAAGCUUAAAAAUUUAAUAUUUUUAGAUUGGGGUAAUCAUUGAAGAAUAAUUAUUUUUAAUAUUUUAAAAAUUGAAAUAAGAAAAGUUACUCUAGGGAUAACAGCGUUAUUUAAUUAACAAGUUCUUAUUAAUAAUUAAGUUUGCGACCUCGAUGUUGAAUUAAUU